rnacentral:rRNA from 1 species
GACGAACGCUGGCGGCGUGCUUAACACAUGCAAGUCGAACGGAAAGGCCCCUUUGGGGGUACUCGAGUGGCGAACGGGUGAGUAACACGUGAGUAACCUGCCCUUGACUUCGGGAUAACUUCAGGAAACUGGGGCUAAUACCGGAUAGGAAUCCUUGCUGCAUGGUGGGGGUUGGAAAGCUUCGGCGGUUUUGGAUGGACUCGCGGCUUAUCAGGUUGUUGGUGGGGUAGUGGCUUACCAAGGCUUUGACGGGUAGCCGGCCUGAGAGGGCGACCGGCCACAUUGGGACUGAGAGACGGCCCAGACUCCUACGGGAGGCAGCAGUGGGGAAUAUUGCACAAUGGGCGGAAGCCUGAUGCAGCAACGCCGCGUGCGGGAUGACGGCCUUCGGGUUGUAAACCGCUUUCAGCAGGGGCGAAGCUUGUGGUGACGGUACCUGCAGAAGAAGCACCGGCUAACUACGUG